rnacentral:rRNA from 1 species
UACGGAGGGGGCAAGCGUUGUUCGGAUUUACUGGGCGUAAAGGGCGCGUAGGCGGUUUCGUAAGUCACUUGUGAAAUCUAUGGGCUUAACCCAUAGCGGCCAAGUGAUACUACGGAACUAGAGUGCAGAAGGGGCAACUGGAAUUCUUGGUGUAGCGGUGAAAUGCGUAGAUAUCAAGAGGAACACCUGAGGCGAAGGCGGGUUGCUGGGCUGACACUGACGCUGAGGCGCGAAAGCUAGGGGAGCAAACAGG